GUGAUUAAAUCGAGCGUGUCUUCAUUGACCGCUCCCCUUCUCACCAUCCACAUACACCUGUGUACUGUUUAGCCUGAGCCGGUUUUCCGGUCCAGGUUAUCAUUUCAUACAAACUCUAGUCUUAUGAAUGUAAACGUUUUAAUAACAUAAUA
rnacentral:misc_RNA from 1 species